AUGGUUUGCAGGAUUUUUCCAAAACUGGAUAUCUGGGUUUGUCCCAAGUCGUCCUACCCCUGCUACCGCUACAAUAGGUCACCAAUGGAUUCGUCAUGGAAUGAUGGACGUGGGAACUCAGACCUUGACCAAUUCAUAUUCAACGAGUUCAUCAUCUCAUCGGAUUUGGACGAUGAGGGUGCUGAAAUGAUGAUGAUGAUGCGCAUCCAAGAGGAGUUGGAGAAGGCAGAGGAGCACGUCCUCAACUUCAAGGUUUCAAUCAAGACUUGGAGAGUUAUUCCCCAUGAUAGGAUUGCUAGUGCACGACUUCUGUACAUGGACUACUUCACAUUGACCCGACAUUCCCUAAAAGUUUCUUUCGUCGUUGCUACCAAAUGA
rnacentral:rRNA from 1 species